rnacentral:rRNA from 1 species
ACGCUGGCGGCGUGCCUAAUACAUGCAAGUCGAGCGGAGUUAAUCGGGAGCUUGCUCCUGAUUGACUUAGCGGCGGACGGGUGAGUAACACGUAGGCAACCUGCCCGUAAGACCGGGAUAACUAGCGGAAACGUUAGCUAAUACCGGAUAAUCAAGUUUCUCGCAUGGGGAGACUUGGGAAAGGCGGAGCAUCUGUCACUUUACGGGGUU